AUUGAACGCUGGCGGCAGGCUUAACACAUGCAAGUCGAACGAGUGGCGGACGGGUGAGUAAUGUUUGGGAAUCUAGCUUAUGGAGGGGGAUAACUACGGGAAACUGUAGCUAAUACCGCGUACCAUAGGAUGAGCCCAGGUGGGAUUAGGUAGUUGGUGAGGUAAAGGCUCACAAAGCCGACGAUCUCUAGCGGGUCUGAGAGGAUGACCAGCCACACUGUGACUGAGACACGGCCCAGACUCCUACGGGAGGCAGCAGUGGGGAAUAUUGCACAAUGGGGGCAACCUGACGCAGCCAUGCCGCGUGAAUGAAGAAGGCCUUCGGGUUGUAAAGUUCUUUCAGUAGCGAGGCGUUAACUACAGAAGAAGCACCGGCUAACUCCGUGCCAGCAGCCGCGGUAAUUC
rnacentral:rRNA from 1 species